AGCUCCAAUAGCGUAUAUUAAAGUUGUUGCAGUUAAAAAGCUCGUAGUUGGAUUUGUGGUUUUUGGUGGGUUCCGGGCACUUGUUGUCUGCGUAACUUGCCAUUGCCAUCCUUGGGUGGAACCUGUGUGGCAUUAGGUUGUCGUGCAGGGGAUGCCCAUCGUUUACUGUGAAAAAAUUAGAGUGUUCAAAGCAGGCUUAUGCCGUUGAAUAUAUUAGCAUGGAAUAAUAAGAUAGGACUUUUUCGCUAUUUUGUGGGUUUGCGCGAGAAGGUAAUGAUUAAUAGGGACAGUUGGGGGUAUUCGUAUUCCAUUGUCAGAGGUGAAAUUCUUGGAUUUUUGGAAGACGAACUACUGCGAAAGCAUUUACCAAGGAUGUUUUCA
rnacentral:rRNA from 1 species